AUGUUGCACAUGUUACCUUUGAUAGGUUCAAUGGAUUUUUGGGUCUCCCUGUUGAAUUUGAGCCAGAAGUUUCCAGAAGGGCCCCCAGUGCUAGUACCACUGUAUUUGGAGUGUCAACGGAGUCCAUGCAAUUGUCUUUUGACUCCCGUGGUAAUAGUGUUCCAACUAUUCUACUUCUAAUGCAAAGGCGUUUGUAUGCUCAAGGAGGUCUACAGGCAGAAGGGA
rnacentral:misc_RNA from 1 species